UGCAGUCUCAGUACGAGCUGACUUAAAGUGAAACCGCAAAAGGCUCAGUAAACCGGUCAUAGUUUACCGGAUAUAUGCCACUCACGUGGACAACUGUGGUAAUUCUAGAGCUAAUACAUGCAACCAAGUCCCGACCAGCGAUGGAAAGGACGCUUUUAUUGGAUCAAAACCAUUCGCCCGGCCCCGCCCGGGCGUCUGCUUGAUGACUCUAGAUAACACCACAGAUCGCACGGUCAUAGUACCGGCGACGUAUCCGUCAAAUGUCUGACUUAUCAGCUGUCGAUGGUAGACUCUGUGUCUACCAUGGCGCUCACGGGUAACGGGGAAUCAGGGUUCGAUUCCGGAGAGGGAGCCUGAGAAACGGCUACCACAUCCAAGGAAGGCAGCAGGCACGCAAAUUACCCACUCCCGGCACGGGGAGGUAGUGACAAAAAAUAACGAUACGGGACUCAUCCGAGGCCCCGUAAUCGGAAUGAGAACACCCUAAAUCCUUUAACGAGGAUCUAUUGGAGGGCAAGUCUGGUGCCAGCAGCCGCGGUAAUUCCAGCUCCAAUAGCGUAUAUUAAAGUUGUUGCGGUUAAAAAGCUCGUAGUUGGUUCUGCGUGCCACGCUGUCGGUUCACCGCCUGUCGGUGCAACUGGCAUGCCGUGGCAUGUCCUGUCGGUGGCUUCACAGGCUUCGUGGCGCGCCCUAUGCGUUAACACGUGUAGGUAGUUGCGCCGCGUUGUUCUUGUAGGCCGGCUCAAUCCUGCCGCGGUGCUCUUUACCGAGUGUCGAGGUAGGCCGACACUGUUUACUUUGAACAAAUUAGAGUGCUUCAAGCAGGCUCUGAAAGCAGCCUGAAUAGUGGUGCAUGGAAUAAUGGAACAGGACCUUGGUUCUAUUUUGUUGGUUUUAGGAAUCCAAGGUAAUGAUCAAUAAGGACAGGCGGGGGCAUUCGUAUUGCGACGUUAGAGGUGAAAUUCUUGGAUCGUCGCAAGACGCACUA
rnacentral:rRNA from 1 species